CGUACGGACCGCCGUGCCCUCGCUACUGCGGCGGCGGGAUGGGAAAAAGCUGGUUCCUAUGGCGGGGAUGGGAAAGGGCUGCUUCGAUGAUAUCGACGCAGGAGUGGAUCCUCCCCCCAGCUGUUGCCCGUCUCCGCCCUCCGUCUUCUCUUUGCCUGCGACCCAAGAAGAAGAGAGGAAACCCUAAAAAAAGCGGUCUCCGAUCCCCAUCUUCUCUUCGCCUGCGACCCAAGAAGAAGAGUGGAAACCCUAAAAAAAGGGCGGUUUUACCUUCUCCUCCUCCUCCUCUCUUCUUUCUCCUGCACGUCGCCGCUGCUCUCAUUAAGCAUCUUCUGAUCCGAGGAAUUAAUUUAAGAUUGACAGUUUCUUUGAGGGAGGUCGGAAACACUGGGUUGGAACCUGAAAGCACUUGCAUGACAGAUGGAAGAUGAAGUCACAAGAACAGCCACAAUGGCUUUUCCCCAUGCGACCUACCGCAAUAGCUUCAAUUGCUUGGGCUGUGUGAAUGACUUGUCAACUCCCAACCUUGAUCAGGCUUCCAUUUGAAACAGGAUAGCCUCUUUUCAUGCCAUUGUAAUCUGCUCAACCUGGUGGAGACUUCAACCUUGUUGCAUGCUGCUGGCUGCAGUAUCAGAGAGUCAGAACGACAUUGAUCACCAGGAACUCCAUUUGCAUAUAUCUACACCUCAGGCAGGGAACAUAUGAAAAGAUUUGUGUACUUCAUAAAGGCUUUAUAUCGGCACGUAUGAAGCACAGCAGCAGUGUUUCUGCAAACCCUCAACACUCCAGAAUCAUUAUUUUGCUCACUCAGAAGCAAUCAUGAUCUGGAACGGGCUUUGUGGUUUUCAUAAUGGGCUGAUACAUGGAGAGAUCUGAUAGAUUAACAAGCUUAUUUAACUUGAUCUUGGAUUCAGUUUGUAAGGGGCAGUUCCUCCUGAAUCAGCUCCAACAGAACUGGAACAUCUGCAGUUUGAUUCAGAAAAGGUCAACAAGUACCACACUACUAGGUUAAUGCAUGAGCGGUAGCUGUAUUCUGCAUCUUGUUCAGUCACUUCUGAGAUCAUGCGAGUCGUAGUAAUUAUGAUUACAAAGAUUGAUUUGCCAACAUCGGCAAAUUGAUGAUUGGGAAAGACCAUAAGAGGUAUCAGAAAUGGGUUUUUAUCAGACCCAGCGGGUGUGGAUUCUAGGGAAGAAUCCAUCAGCCCAUGUGUGCCACUGAAGUAUAACAUCUCUUCUCAUUAACCACAAACUUUUAUCCAUAACAAAAGGUAAAAGAUUCGAUUCUGAUCUUUUGGAGCUGACAAUGAUCUGUGAUAUGGGGCAUGGUAGUGACUACUGAGCUUUAAUGGACAAUUGGAGCAUCAGCCGUGGAUCAUAUGGCAUCACUUGUGGCUGACAGUUCUCUUGGAGAUCACUUGGCACAACCCCUUCAACAAGAGGAAUCAUUCAGCAUUAUCCACAGUCCAAACGAUCAAUUCUAUGCAAAGGUUCUGGGCUAAGACAAGAUAAGAUAGAACAAGAAAGCAUUAAUGUUGCAUGAGAUAGCAAUGCACAAAGAAUUGUAAUGAUCUCCCAAGCACUAGUAUUCUUUUCCUUGUUGGUCGAAGAUGAUGUGAAAUUUGAUCCUCAGAGUUGUCAGCUCAGCAUACAAAUGAUCAAUCAAUGCUCUAAGUAUGUUGCAUGAUUGUCGAAUCGUAGAAGACACUGCCAAAUUCCUUGGGCCAGCGAAGAACAUAACACAUCAAAGAGCACUAGCUUUUUUUCCUGCUCUCUUGCAGCAACUUAAGCACUGAUCAAAAGGCAGGACCACAAGUUUAAGCCACCAUGGAACUUAGUCAUGUAGUAGAGUAAGGGGAAAGAUGGAUGAUACUUUGGCUUUUGUUAAAGAGCAUACCGAGAAUAUUGCUGAUGAAAAUAUUCCAAUUUUAUCUUUGGUUUUAAAGGGAGAAAAACCAAAGACGCGUAAGGAAUACAUGGCUGGCAUUGCCAGUCUAUGCAAAUCAACCAAUCCUUCUCAAUUGAUGCAUAUUUUUCCACUGUCAAUUUGAACAUCAGCACGGAUAUGCAUGAUCAGUGCCCUAUUAGGCUUGAAUGUGUGAAACAGAGAAAAAAUGUGGUUUUCGGAGGUCAAAGUGGAUCAAUUCUAUGAACUCAAUUCCAUAAAGUUAGCUGCAGAUAAUUCAAAGAAAGAAAGAAAGCGACUUGAUGGCUUACAAACCUCUUUAGGUACAUAUGCUUAUCUCUCUCUUUGUUUGAAGUGUUCAAACUCACACUUAUCCGUAGGAAUCUGACCAAGAAGCUAGCUCACUGAUCAUCUAUCUUUGCUAGAUAACUUGGAUUUAGAAAUGAGUGGAAGAAUCAGCAUCCAGUUGACUUGUGCAUCAAGAGGCAGGGUCUUGUGGAUGUCGUUGCGAUCACAUUUUUAUAUCAUUCUAAACUAUUUGUCAAAACUAGUUCAACCCAAUAAUAUCAUUCAAAGCUACAUAUUAUAGUUCCUUUUUUUGUGCAUGACUAACGUCUUAUGAGACCUUCUUGAGCACUUACCAGGUGAGUUCCUGCCGACAGAUGGGUGCAUGAUUGCAGAACAAAUUGAUCCUUAUCUCUCCAUACAUGGGAUUGCCAAGGAGCCUAACAAGUUCUUGGAGAGAAGCUGGUUUGAUUUGCCAGAGUCAUGUGAUUAUUCUGGGUUAAUUCUUCAACUAUCUACAUCAAAGUACCUAUCAACAACCUAAGUUUGCACUCUGGUCAGAGACGAAAAGUGUCAUCUAAAGUGGAACAGUAUCUGAACACACCCACAGCUCACUGCCUGCGCACUCCAUAGUUCAACUCUCCCAUAGAGAGCUACCAGAUCUUUCCAAUCUUAAACCUAGUAAAUGUUUUAGUGAUGCGAAGGAGAUGCACACUUGACAUUAUUGAGGUCCACUCAUUGAGGCAUGAAUAGCCACAUCCACUAAGGUAGUGAAGUACACCAUGAGGGAUAUGGAAUGAGACAUCUCCAAUAAAGGCAGAGGGGCGAAACUUGAGAUCUUUCUGUCAGCUUUUCCAGCAAUCUGAUGUCAUUCCACCACCAGGCUCAAGUUGCUGAAGGAUUUCCCGCUAGUCAAUCUGGAAAAUAUUAACUGAUCUGAAUUUGGGCAUAGCAGAACAAACAUUGUUGUUCUUACAGCUGAUUAUCAUCUAGAAUUCUUUUCUUUCUUUCAGUGGAUGCCAAGUCUGUUCAGUUUAACAUGAUUGGUCAUAGUGUUAGCUUUGCAUCAUUCUCACAUUGUUUUAGCUCAACCAGUAGGGACAGCAAGAGAUCAUCCAACCAAAGAUAUGACCUUUAUAAAGCAGAUGCUCUGAAUAUUGGAAUGAGUAGAAUUGCAUCACAUGUAGGAAGGCAACAUAACCAGUUUCCAUGAUACAGAAUCCAUGAGACAUCAUGUCAGAUGGACAAUGUCCUAAAGGCACUGGACUGUCCAAGGCACAGGAGAAAGUGAUACCAUAAUGGAUUGGCUAGCUGAGAAAAGGAAUAUUAACCAUCUUGGGCAUAGCCAUGUCAAGUACAAAGGAGUGUGGAAAUGUGUCAACUUGCAUAUUGAUUGAGAUGAUGAAUUUGUUUACCUUGUCAUGCAAGUUGGGCAACUGAACAGCCAUGUUUCUUCAAGCUUUACACCAAAUGGUGGAUGGAUCAAUCUAAGACAGACACAACAUGUGAAUCCAAGUUUACCACAAUGCAUGAGCAAGCAAAUAAUGAAAAGAGUUGCUUUAGAUGGAGAUCAAUCAAAUGUAACAUCGAGCCAUUUCCUGACAGCAAAGUUCUUUGAGACUAAUGAUUACCAGGCCACCAAUUAAUCAUGAAACCAGAUCACCAACUGCUAUGUUCAUAAACAGCUUUGCAAAAGAUAAAUGCAGAGACAGAAAUCAUGUUGCAUCUUC